rnacentral:rRNA from 1 species
UGGGACUGCCGGUGACAAACCGGAGGAAGGUGGGGAUGACGUCAAGUCAUCAUGGCCCUUACGGCCUGGGCUACACACGUGCUACAAUGGUCGGUACAAAGGGUUGCCAAGCCGCGAGGUGGAGCUAAUCCCAUAAAACCGAUCGUAGUCCGGAUCGCAGUCUGCAACUCGACUGCGUGAAGUCGGAAUCGCUAGUAAUCGUGAAUCAGAAUGUCACGGUCGAAUACGUUCCCGGGCCUU